rnacentral:lncRNA from 13 species
UUCAAUUCGUACGUACAGUAUUCCGUAUUGAGGAAGAUAAUUACAGAGAGAAAGGUUCGUACGACAAAGGUUCUUGAGAUACUACGAAUAAAUGCAUACAUUUUCAACCCCACAUGGCACAUUGAAGUUAAUGAGUUAUUAACAACUUAUAGCGACUCUUACUGGCGCAGCUGAUAUGUUCCGUCGUGCUGUAUUAAUUAUGACAAUCUUGCCAUUUGAUGGAAUUGUGGAUGAUUAAAUAUUUUAAUGUGUUGCUGUGCUCUCCCUCAGGGAAAUACAUCAUGCUUGUCAAGGCAGUAUUUAUAAAAAUCUACCAGUCGAGAGGUUCUCACAAUUCUUAAUACUAGUAAUUAACAACUUAAUAGACGUCCGUUCUACCGCAACCUAUAUUUUUUGUCGGUAUGCAAAUGUCGUUAUUAUGUGACAAAUGUUGUCAUCUUACCAUUUGAAUUGAGGAAAAUUAAUUCUAGCGUAUUGCAUUGUUCCCAGGAAAUAAAGUACACCUCGUGGAAGCGUUUCACUCUGACUCUUGAGUUCCCCAACUACAAACGUAAUAUACGACGUGUUCAGUUACGUUUAUUGAAAUGGAAUUAUCGAAUAAGAAACUCGACAGUGUCGACCUACAAAACUCUUGAAAAAUCAAGAAAUCAUAAUAAUAAAUUUCAUUAAAAUUCUUCCUAAUAUAAUUACCACAGUGAGUGAAUCCACAGAUGAAAGAUAAUUUGGAUCUGAAGAAAUUAAGAGGCUUAUAUGUCAAUAAUAGCAAAGCAGAGAUUACUUUGAACGAUGACUUAUAUCAACGAUGACUUAUAUUAAAAAUAGUUAAACUAAUUAAAAACCAGAUGUUCAUGGAGGUCACUUGGAAUCAUUACAGAUGCAUACGUACCAACGGUCCGAGUAUAUCGCAAUAACAUCGGUAGUAAAUAUGUCUGUAGAUCUAUUCUUUGCGAAGAGCCCGAUGUGUCAACAUUUAUUGUGUUUGUUUACAGACUGAAAAGUGAAGUGAGAAAAGUGAAAGAGAAAUUUUUAUUAUAGUGCAAUCCAUUUUAUAAUCAUUAAUGUGAAACAAUAUAGAUUUUUCUAAAAUUGUUUUAAACUUUAUAUGAUUUUCUGGAUUUUCAUCGAAUCUGUCAAUAAUUUUUUUUUAGCGUAGUAAACCUAAAGAGAAUUAGUUAUAGCAAAGACUUGAACUUCCUCGAUAUCAGUGCGUUCUUCCAAUUGAUAGACAAGCUCGUAAAUAUGGAAAGAGAUGCAAAGUGAUAAUCAAUUAACAAGUGUUAAAAUUUAGACGUGUCUCUCUACAUUUUUGUGUUAUCCUUUAUAUAUCAAGCAAAAGAAUAUAACAAAUGGAAUUUCAGGAAAAAUCCGCUUUUGCUCAAAAACAUCCAGUUUAUGAUACCAUUCCACUAAUUAUUAUUGAUAAAACGGAAAAAAAAUAUUCCACAGAUAAGACAGAGAGUCAAAAAUAUUAUGUUUCUAGUCCAUUUUGGAUGAAAUUUCGUUUAUUAUUAUUUUGGACAUUGUGGGCUGCAUUAAUAAUGACGAUCAUAAUCUCCUUUCUCACAUACUUUUGUUUUACACCCCGAAUGUGCCAUAGCUCAUAUAAAUAUAAAAAUAUACACAAAUAA